rnacentral:rRNA from 1 species
UUUGAACCUGGCUCAGGAUGAACGCUGGCGGCGUGCCUAACACAUGCAAGUCGAACGGGAAUAGGAUGAAACCUAGUGAUUCCUAUUCUAGUGGCGGACGGGUGAGUAACGCGUGGGUAACCUGCCUCGCACUGGGGGAUAACACUUAGAAAUAGGUGCUAAUACCGCAUAAGCGCACAGAACCGCAUGGUUCGGUGUGAAAAACUCCGGUGGUGUAAGAUGGACCCGCGUCUGAUUAGCUGGUUGGUGAGGUAACGGCUCACCAAGGCGACGAUCAGUAGCCGGCCUGAGAGGGUGAACGGCCACAUUGGGACUGAGACACGGCCCAAACUCCUACGGGAGGCAGCAGUGGGGAAUAUUGCACAAUGGGGGAAACCCUGAUGCAGCAACGCCGCGUGAGUGAAGAAGUCAUUCGUGAUGUAAAGCUCUAUCAGCAGGGAAGAAAAUGACGGUACCUGACUAAGAAGCCCCGGCUAACUACGUGCCAGCAGCCGCGGUAAUACGUAGGGGGCAAGCGUUAUCCGGAUUUACUGGGUGUAAAGGGAGCGUAGACGGCGACGCAAGUCUGAAGUGAAAUGCCAGUGCUCAACACUGGAACUGCUUUGGAAACUGUGUAGCUAGAGUGCAGGAGAGGUAAGUGGAAUUCCUAGUGUAGCGGUGAAAUGCGUAGAUAUUAGGAGGAACACCAGUGGCGAAGGCGGCUUACUGGACUGUAACUGACGUUGAGGCUCG